CCUUGUAGGACCACCAGUGGCGAAGGCGUCAGACUGGAACGCGCCUGACGGUGAGGGACGAAAGCCAGGGGNNAGCGGAACCGGGAUGUAGAUACCCGGGUAGUCCUGGCCGUAAACGAUGCGCACUAGGUGAUGGUGCGGCUAUGAGCCGCAUCAGUGUCGUAGGGAAACCGUUAAGUGUGCCGCCUGGGAAGUACGGUCGCAAGGCUUAAACUUAAAGGAAUUGGCGGGGGAGCACCACAAGGGGUGAAGCCUGCGGUUCAAUUGGACUCAACGCCGGGCAACUUACCAGGGGAGACAGCAGAAUGAGGGUCAGGUUGACGACCUUACCCGACAAGCUGAGAGGAGGUGCAUGGCCGUCGCCAGUUCGUGCUGUGAGGUAUCCUGUUAAGUCAGGCAACGAACGAGACCCGCACCUUUAUUUGCCAUCAAGAAGUCACGACUUCGUUGGGAACGAUAAAGGGACCGCCGUCGAUAAGACGGAGGAGGGAGCGGGCAAAGGCAGGUCAGUAUGCCCCGAAACCCCUGGGCCACACGCGGGCUGCAAUGGUGCGAACAAUGGGCUGUGACUCCGAAAGGAGAAACCAAUCCCGAAAUCGCAUCUCAGUGGGGAUUGUCGACUGUAACUCGUUGACAUGAACGUGGAAUCCCCUAGUAAUCGCGCGUCACCAUCGCGCGGUGAUACGUCUCUGCUCCU
rnacentral:rRNA from 1 species